rnacentral:rRNA from 1 species
AUUGAACGCUGGCGGAAUGCUUUACACAUGCAAGUCGAACGGCAGCACGGGGGCAGCCCUGGUGGCGAGUGGCGAACGGGUGAGUAAUACAUCGGAACGUGCCCGGUCGUGGGGGAUAACGUAGCGAAAGUUACGCUAAUACCGCAUACGAUCUGAGGAUGAAAGCGGGGGACCUUCGGGCCUCGCGCGAUCGGAGCGGCCGAUGUCAGAUUAGGUAGUUGGUGGGGCAAAGGCCUACCAAGCCGACGAUCUGUAGCUGGUCUGAGAGGACGACCAGCCACACUGGGACUGAGACACGGCCCAGACUCCUACGGGAGGCAGCAGUGGGGAAUUUUGGACAAUGGGCGCAAGCCUGAUCCAGCCAUUCCGCGUGCAGGACGAAGGCCUUCGGGUUGUAAACUGCUUUUGUACGGAACGAAAAGGCUCUGGUUAAUACCUGGGGCUCAUGACGGUACCGUAAGAAUAAGCACCGGCUAACUACGUG